ensembl:lncRNA
AUGGCAGACUGCCAGGAUAUACCAGUGGAAAAGCUCACUCUAAAGAGUUGGGCAACGUGGUCCAGGAGAAUAAGGGGAUGGUUCUUGGUUGAAGGGCUCUGGGAAGCAAACCAGUGGGAGCCAAAAGAAACACCCCUUAGCCGGCCAGCAGCUGGAGCAGGUGAAGCAAGCUGUGGGGCUGUGUUGGCUGAAGAUAGCCAGAGGCUGCAACAAGAGCUGAAUAUGCUCAAAGCAUGCGUUGAUGCGUCACUGGAGCCUCAGUUGGAGGGCGUAACGACAGCGUGGGCUGCCUGGAAUUUGCUGAAAGGCUUGUGUGAGGCGUCAGCGAAAGGCCAGAGCCCUGGAGGAAGCCCUGGAGAGGCAGAAGGAUGCCCAGAAAGCCCAAUGGGGGCUGGGACAGUGUUGGGAAGCUGUUGUAAUGCUUCUACACGUCUGUGUGAUGGACUGAGUCCUGGAAAGGCUGGACUGGCAGGCCCUGUUCCCGAUGUAUUGGCCUCUAGGAGCGCUAGUGAGCAGAUCGGGGGGGCGAGGAGUUCCAAAGGCAAGUUUAAAGGACUUUCCCUUUGUGCUGAAGCGAAGAGCAGCUUCAGGGGGGGCGAGGCUGGUGGGAGGCGCCGUUCCAGAAGGAGGAGGGCCAAGCCAGCUGGGAGCCCCGGGCAGUGUUUUUCCACUGGAGUUCGUCACACGGCGCAACAUCUGAGUGGCAAGUGCCCCCACCGGUGCAGAGAGCCGAGGCAGGAUGUUGUGAAGGACAUUUCCCAUGGGAACCAGGCGGGUUUCCAUGGCAACAGGCCUGGGAAGACAGGCAGGCGUGGAACUGAGCCAGGUGGCCGUGGUAAACAGCAGGGAGAAGAGUCUUAUCAAGUCUCGGCGAGUAUGGCAGUGUUUGAAGACGGCCGAGUGGAAAAUUCCGAGAUGGCCUUUGUAAUAGACUCUGCAGCUAACCGCAACAUGGUUCCAGAGACCCCUGCAGUCGAGAGGUGGAAUUGCACGGCAGUUCCGAAGGGACAGACUAUUAAGUUUGCAAAUGGACAGAAAACUAGAGUUUCCACGUGUACUAAUGCCUAUCUUUCUGUUUUACAGGAGACGGUGGAUUUUUGUAUUGUUCCAGAGAUUCAACAUUGUUUGUUAUCUGUGCCUUAUUUGUUAAGUAAGGGGUUCAAAGUUUGUUUUGAAAACGAUGUCUGCACGAUCUCCAAAGGGGGGAGGUUACUGGCCAAAGUGCGGAAGGGACAGAAUGAUCUUUUCAUUCUUAAAACGUCUCUUGGAGGUGAGGGGAAGGUUGAGAAAGCACAAGCCUUGCGUGCUACAAUCCCCGCUCAUAAUGUUACAUGUGCAUGCGUAUGGCAUCAGAGAACGAUUCACAAUCCUUUAGAGGAUUUGCAGGUGUUACCUGAGGUUGUUACAGGUUGUAAGAUUAAAAAUUGUCAAAGUGCCAUUAAUUGUGAAACCUGCAGGCUAGCAAAGGUAAAAGGAUGCAGUUAUCCAAAAGUGGAGAGGGUAACCAUGAAACCUUUUGAGCUGGUGCACAUAGAUUUGUGGGGUCCUGUGAGGGAACCGAGUCUGGGAGGUGCAAGGUUUCUGCUCUCGAUACAGGAUAAUUUUACGCAGAAUACCUGGACCCAUGGUCUCAAAUCCAAGGAUGAUGCAGCACAGCUGAUCAAGAGGUGGAUUGAGGAGGUGGAACAAAGGUUUUCCACCAGAGUGCAAGCGGUGACCAGUGAUAGCGGAGCCCAGUCAACAGGUUCUGCUUUGCAGAAGUUCUUUCGCAAGAAAGGGAUACGUCACUCAGUGACUUCACCCAAUCAGUGGGGGGUGGCAGGGCUGAGACGCCAGGCUCUGGUUCAGGCUGCACAGGUGUUGCUGAAAGAUUCUGAGUUACCUCCAAGGUUUUGGCUGGAGGCAAUCAAGUAUGUGAGCUUCACCUGGAAUCGUACCUACAAUACGCUAGUAGGUGACACACCCUUUAGAUUGUUGCAUGGCAGGAAACCCCAGAUUCAUUUUUUGCGUAUGUUUGGUGCAAGUGCAUCUGUGCCGGUACCUACUGCUUUGCAGGGGCCAGAUGGAUCCAAGUUCCGGAAAAUGAUUUUCUGUGGGUAUGAGCCAGCAGCGAGUGCAUGGAGGUUCGCAUUUCCAUCAGGUGAUCAGAGUAAGUUACUGAUCAGUAAACACGCUGAGUUCUUUGAGCAGAGUGAGAAGCCAAAGAUUGUUUUCCAGCGUGAUCUUCUCUCAGAUUGUCUCUCUGACCCAGAGGACAGUUGUGAUGAGGAGGAAGGAGAGGCUGAGCCUGCUGAUGAGGACCAGGUCCAGGAUCAGGGUUCAGAAUCCGAUGAUGAUAAUCAAUUCACUGACCAAAGUCAGGAGCAAAGUCAGGAACAGGAGGAGGUAUCUGUAGUUUCUCCACAAGAUGUUAAGAGAGCACCCAAAAGCGAGCCUAGUUCUCCUGUGAGUGUGAUGGAAAGGAUUCGAAGACGCUUUAAGUCAGAAGGGGAAUCCCGUGAUGCAGAGGUCACACCUGCUGGUGACGGUGAGCCAGAGGAAACAUCUGAGUUUGUGCCUAGGAGGUCCAGUCGCACAACAAAGGGUAUUCCGCCUGAAAGGUACCAAGCCAUAGGUGCGUGGGUAAAUUUCGCACAGUGCGUUUCUGAGGAUUGUGAGGUGGUUCCACAAAUGCCAAACAGGUCUGCCAAGGGAGGGCGCGAGGCAUUGGGGGUGGGAUUGAUCUCACAAGGUGUUACUGAAGGGGUUCAACAAGUGCCUGGGAAAAAUGCCGGAAAGGGGCACAAGACAAAGGGAAAGGUGUUGAACUCAGAAGAGUCUUGUCAGAAUGGGCGGCAAAGGGGGGUGUUGGGAUUGGAACGUAACAGGUUAAGUUUUUCCCAUGGUGCCACACCAUUCUGA